AUUGAACGCUGGCGGCAUGCCUAACACAUGCAAGUCGAACGGUAAAAGGCAGCUGGGUGCUGGCGAGUGGGGAAGGGGGGAGUAAUACACCUGAAAGUGCGCGAGCGAGGGGGGUAACAAGGCGAAAAAUGUGCGCAAAUCGCAUACGAGCUACGAGGGAGAGCGGGGGAGAGCAUGGGCCUGCACGGACGGAGAGGACGCGAUGUCGGAUUAGAUAGUUGGGGGGGUAAAGGCAUACCAAGGCGACGAUCUGUAGCUGGUCUGAGAGGAUGAUCAGCCACACUGGAACUGAGACACGGCCCAGACUCCUACGGGAGGCAGCAGUGGGGAAUUUUGGACAAUGGGCGCAAGCCUGAUCCAGCCAUGCCGCGUGCAUGAUGAAGGUCUUCGGGUUGUAAACCGCUUUUGUACGGAACGAAAAGCCUUCUUUUAAUACCGUGCGGUCUUGACGUUACCGUAAGAAUAAGCACCGGCUAACUACGUG
rnacentral:rRNA from 1 species